GGGUGAGUAGCUCAGCAGUAGAGCUCCCACUUCGUAUGUGGGAUGACUUGGGUUCGAUCCCUUGCUGCUUCC
rnacentral:tRNA from 1 species